GACGAACGCUGGCGGCGCGCCUAACACAUGCAAGUCGAACGAGCGAGAGAGAGCUUGCUUUCUUGAGCGAGUGGCGAACGGGUGAGUAACGCGUGAGGAACCUGCCUCAAAGAGGGGGACAACAGUUGGAAACGACUGCUAAUACCGCAUAAGCCCACGACCCGGCAUCGGGUUGAGGGAAAAGGAGCAAUCCGCUUUGAGAUGGCCUCGCGUCCGAUUAGCUAGUUGGUGAGGUAACGGCCCACCAAGGCGACGAUCGGUAGCCGGACUGAGAGGUUGAACGGCCACAUUGGGACUGAGACACGGCCCAGACUCCUACGGGAGGCAGCAGUGGGGAAUAUUGCACAAUGGGGGAAACCCUGAUGCAGCGACGCCGCGUGGAGGAAGAAGGUCUUCGGAUUGUAAACUCCUGUUGUGGAGGAAGAUAAUGACGGUACUCAACAAGGAAGUGACGGCCAACUACGUG
rnacentral:rRNA from 1 species